CAAAUUUAUGUUGAUCUUCAGUUAAAUUAGUUAUCACUACUUGAUACUUCAAAAAGCAUUAUCAUUCAAGUUCUCUGAAUGAUUACUAAUUCUGAUACAGUGCAAAAAAAAAAAAAAAGAAAAGAAAAAGAAAACCCCCUCAGCCAGGGUAAUGUAAUGUAUAUUUUUAAAGGUGUCUGUGACGGGGCAUGCAUGCCCCACACUGGGACUGCAGGGGUUAAUUCCAUUCUUUGGGCUGAGGAGGCCACAUCCCCUCGACUCUGCUGGCCAUGCUCUGGCUGGAGGCCAGGUAUAAAAGGGAGCAGCCCAGUUCAUUUGGGAGCUGACUGCCCCCAAACGAAGGAAGGAGGUGUGCUGCAGACUCCUGCUGAUGGACCGCCAACACUUCAUGAUUCGGAGGCCAGCCAGACAGCAGCGACCAACAGACCCCAGGCUCCGGACACCAGAGAGGAAGAGGAGACCGGGGGAACCACGAGAACACAAGCUGCAGAGAAGCAGCCAACUCCAACUGACAUCAAAGGGAAUGCGCCCGAGUAAAGACCAAGAGGGGGGAAAAUGAGCACCAACGGAGUAAAACAACAAGCCGUGUCCACGGUUGUGUGGCAAGAUUAUCUGAGUUAUAGAAAACGUUAUUGUCUAGAUAAGUACAAGCCUGAACAGCUCUUUAUUCUGAAGAGUCACAUACAAGUUUACAUCAUCCUGCAGCCUAUCCAACCUGGAAGUAUUGAUGCAAAAAGGCUCUGAGAAUAGCUCUUUCCCUCCCCAGCAUUUCAAUGCUUUUAAAUGACUUCACGUUCUGAAAUAAAGAGAUUCU